ensembl:snoRNA
AUAUUUUUUUUAAAAAUCACAGUAUCCUUGAUUGGAGUUUCAUGCUCAUGUGUGAGAUAUGCCGCCCUCAAAUCUUGUUAUGAUGUCAAUGCUUUAGCUGUCUGAUG